ACAUUUCAUUAAAUUUAGUAAAGACAAACUAAAGUAAAGAGAACAGAAACUAAAAAAUUCUUCAAUUUUUCCACUUGUAAAGGGGCAUUACCCUAGAAUGGUUAUCAAAGUGCUUGUAAUCACUAAAUGGUAAAGAUUGCUUUAAUUUAUCAGUUGGUAGUAAAGUGAAUAUUGCAUUGUAUAUUGCAUAUAGCAUUGAUUUAAGUUGAUUCAACUACUAUUCUGGACAAAGAAAGAUAACUCCAAUUUAUUGUCUUGAAACUACAAAAAUGCUUGUUUUUGGCCCUUUUUUUGCC
rnacentral:lncRNA from 1 species